rnacentral:hammerhead_ribozyme from 1 species
ACUCAGCUGACGAGUCCCGAAUAGGACGAAACGCGCGUCAAACUGUGU